rnacentral:lncRNA from 1 species
AAAAUGUCAAGUACCAAAUUGCUGACUUUGAAAAUGCAAGCUUUGAAAAUGUAAGCUUGCGAUUCGGUGCUGAGAUGACCAAGACUUGCUUUUGGAAUACAUACAAAUUAAUCUGGGGAGCUGGAAAUUGCAUUUUUUUUUUUUCCAAAAGAAACAUAUUUGCCUGGUUAACUUCUUUCCUUUGAAUCAAAAUACUUCAUUGGAGUUGAUCAGAUCAUUUAGGUGUUUC